AUGAACUUUUAUUUUACUAACAUUUUCCCGAUACAUUUCCAUUGCAAGUGUGUGCUUCCUUGUUUCUAUUUGUUUUGUUUUGUUUAUAGACAUUUUUCUGCACCUGACUUUAGCCAUGAUCAUCCCAUUGCAAUGAAAAUUGUUGUUCAUACCAAGAGAUUUUUUUUCCAAUGGCAUACCAAGUGGUUUGUUCCAAUUCUUCAUGGUGAUUGUUGCGCUUCCAGACGUGUUUUUUCACCAGUAAUAUGUUCAAUCACACGAGAAUUUGAUGCUUCUAAGGGACUUUCGGUUGUGGUCAUACUACAGAAAAGUGUUUACUAUCAUGCGAGCAUUUCGUUUCAGAAAAAUGUUUAUUAG
rnacentral:rRNA from 1 species